rnacentral:rRNA from 1 species
UACGAAGGGGGCUAGCGUUGUUCGGAUUUACUGGGCGUAAAGCGCACGUAGGCGGAUUGGUCAGUUAGGGGUGAAAUCCCAGGGCUCAACCCUGGAACUGCCUUUAAUACUGCCAGUCUUGAGUAUGGAAGAGGUGAGUGGAAUUCCGAGUGUAGAGGUGAAAUUCGUAGAUAUUCGGAGGAACACCAGUGGCGAAGGCGGCUCACUGGUCCAUUACUGACGCUGAGGUGCGAAAGCGUGGGGAGCAAACAGG